UUUUUUUUUUUUUUUUUUGUGGUUUCUCAAGUAUUAUUAGAAGUUGAUUUGAGGUUUCGGAAUUUGUAUGUCUUUCGAGCUCCUUAGGGUUACGCCUGGUGAUUCAUAUAACUGACCCGAAAGUUUGGAUUCACGGGGUUUCGUGGCUCUGAUGCUCGGAUUAUUAGUCGAGCUAUGCCACUGUUAGUGCCUGAAUGUUGUUUUGUUUGUUUGUUUGUUGCUUUUGAGCGUGGGUGGAAUUCUCCCUGAAUUGCGUGGAUUACGGCUGAUCCUCGACCCGGCAUUUGUAGCAUUCAGAUAUUAGGGUUCGUGUUCAACUGUGCAGAGAGGUUAUCAUUGGAGGUGUAAGUGUGGUGAUUAUCUUCAGGUGUCGAGGCCUGCUUGCUCAGGUUAUGUUGGACUGGAAAAUCGCGAUACGAUGAGUUGUUUUUAUCUCAUUUCGAAUUCGAGUGGGAUGAUUAGCUUCGUGCACCUAGCUGUGAUAUGCCUCCUGCUGAUGUCAUGUACUAGUUGUAAUAUACUUUAGGCUUUUCGCCGAAACUCCUAAAGAUCGAGGUGAACAGUUGUUUUAUUCUGUUUGCACUGAAGACAGACUUAGCAGAGCUCAUACCUCCAAUUAGGUGUGUCUGUUCAUUGUGUACUAACACAAGAAUGUAGGAGGAACUUCGGCGCCUAUUUUAUGUUUAUUUAGCUUAGAAAAUUGGCAAAAUUACUCAUCUGCUGAUUUGUCAAACCAGAGGAUGUAAGCCUAUUUUUAACAUUUAUGGUGUCACGUUGACAUUUUUAUCCUAAUUUCUAUUUUUGAAUUUUCGUGGAGUUGAAUGUUUUAAUCAGGUCAGAAGAAGAUUACGAAAGUAAGAGUACCUGACAAGUGGAAGUAGGGUGCUAGCAAUACCACUGAAGGGGGUGGAUGAAAAACCGACUGGAACAAGCUUCUCUUCAAGAACUGGUACACUCCCUAUGGUAAAACUAAGUGCAUAAUCUGCAAGCAGCAGGUUCACCAGGUGUAUGUGCCAUCUGUGGAAAACAAGUCUUAUGCACCAAAGUAUACAAGCGGAGCAAUGUUCAACACACGAAGGUGGAGACACUUCUCAAUCAUGAGAUACGGCAUUGUGCUGCAGAAACUGAUGGUUUCUACAACUUUGUGCGGAUAAUAAAAAGACAGGUCUCAUGAAUUAUUAAAUCUGAACCCAAAUUUUCAGCGCAAGAGUAUUUUCGUGGAAAAGAAUCGGCAGCAGUUCCAUCCUCUGUGUAAUUAUGUAUGAUCGUACGACAUGUCGUACAAACUUGGGAUUAGCGUCCAUAACAGUGCGAUAUUUGUAAUCUGCGAGAAAAGUUGGACCCUGCAUUAUCACCUGUUCUGUUUCACCAAAUGAGAACAUGUACGACUCCGCAUUGUAGAUAACCUACGAGUUUGAUUAGUAAAGUACCAAUCUAGGAUAGAGGCUUUUCUUACUUUGACACAGUUAAGAAGUUGACUGCUAUGACCUGAAGGAUGAGGCUGCUACAGGACGAGCUGCUAUAACUUGCUUUUGAAGCACUUUUUCGAAAGCUGCUUUGGCAGUGGAAAUGUUGAGAUUUUCGAAAAGUUCAAGCAUGACCCCAAGCGGCCGAAUGUGUCAUGGGUCGGUGUGCGCCAUUUUUGCUACCUCUUGUUUGAAGCAUGUGUUCAAUGCUAUGAAUUACUUCUGUCGAAGGGGAAGCACAUGCACAGGUCGGAGAAGAAAAAGUCCGAGCUUUUCCCCAAUUAUUGCGCAAGCAAGCACGUGAUUGCAGCCUGCACGACCUGGAGGUACUCAUGCCCUCGUCGAUACCUCCUGUGACAUGCUGAUUCAGAUUUGCAAAGAGUAGUUGCAGAGCAUUACAUGUACCAUAAAAGACCUGGCGCUUUUCCUCUUUAGGGUGUAGAGUUUUUCAAAUAAGAUUCUAUGGACGCAUGACAUGAA